rnacentral:rRNA from 1 species
GACGAACGCUGGCGGCGUGCUUAACACAUGCAAGUCGAACGAAGUGGCGAACGGGUGAGUAAUACGUGGGUAACCUGCCCUCCUUUUUGGGAUAAGCCUUGGAAACGGGGUCUAAUACCGAAUAAAGGGGGAUGGGCUCGGGGCCUAUCAGCUGGUUGGUGGGGUGAUGGCCUACCAAGGCGGUGUGGGGUGGCCGGCCGGAGAGGGUGACCGGCCCCAUUGCGACUGCGAUACUGCCCAGAAUGCUACGAGAGGCAGCAGUGGGGGAGUUGGCGCAAUGGGGGAGCGCCUGUGGCAGCGAUGUCGCGUGGGCGUUGAAGGCGUAAGGGUUGUAAACCGGUUGCGAAAUCGAACGGGUAGGUGGAGAAGAAGCGCCGGCUAACUACGUGCCAGCAGCCGCGGUAAUUC